CUCUGGUCCCGCAUGAGGUCCAGGGCGGAAAGAG
ncrna:Cohnella laeviribosi DSM 21336 L31-Firmicutes ribosomal protein leader